UCUAGACCUUCCAGAUAGACUAGCAAAUCUUCUCCGCCCAUGGGCAACCAGUAGAGCCAGAGGCCUUCCCCCUUUGCUCUUUCGUCUCUAGGCACUCUGUCAGGCACUCCAAGGUGUGAAGUGACAAGGGGGAGAAGGAAGAGAUUUCAGAGAACGAACACAUCCAGAGAGACAGGCAAGAGAUGGAGGAGAAGGCAUUCGUGGAGAGAGGCAGAUUCCAUGUGUGCAGGCAAAGUGUGUGCUGACAUGAUGAGACCCUGGAGACCAGGGUGGACGCUUCAGACCCAGGAUAGACCUCUGGCAGGCACUCUGUCAGGCACUCCAAGCUGUGAAGUGACUCAGGGAGAGAAGGAAGAGAUUUCAGAGAAUGAACACAUACAGAGAGAGAGGCAAGAGAUGGUGAGUGGGGAUGUCUUGCGUACUGAUAUCCUGAGGAAAGUGGGAAAAUUGGACCCUGGCCUGCUCUGCCAAUGCCGUGAAGCAGUCUGCACCAGGGGCUCCCUUGUGCCUGCAUAGCCUUUCCCAGGGUGUGCUCAAAUCCUUUGGCCACUAGGUGUCCUAGGUCACAAUGGAGGACCCUGUGUCAUC